AGUGAACGCUGGCGGUAGGCCUAACACAUGCAAGUCGAACGGCAGCACAGUAAGAGCUUGCUCUUACGGGUGGCGAGUGGCGGACGGGUGAGGAAUACAUCGGAAUCUACUUUUUCGUGGGGGAUAACGUAGGGAAACUUACGCUAAUACCGCAUACGACCUACGGGUGAAAGCAGGGGAUCUUCGGACCUUGCGCGAUUGAAUGAGCCGAUGUCGGAUUAGCUAGUUGGCGGGGUAAAGGCCCACCAAGGCGACGAUCCGUAGCUGGUCUGAGAGGAUGAUCAGCAACACUGGGACUGAGACACGGUCCAGACUCCUACGGGAGGCAGCAGAGGGGAAUAUUGGACAAUGGGCGCAAGCCUGAUCCAGCCAUACCGCGUGGGUGAAGAAGGCCUUCGGGUUGUAAAGCCCUUUUGUUGGGAAAGAAAAGCAGCAGGUUAAUACCCCGCUGUUCUGACGGUACCCAAAGAAUAAGCACCGGCUAACUUCGUG
rnacentral:rRNA from 1 species